GAGGGUAUAGCUCAGUGGUAGAGUACGUGCUUAUCAUUCACGAGGUCCUGGGUUCAAUCCCCAGUACCUCCA
rnacentral:tRNA from 1 species